rnacentral:lncRNA from 1 species
UUUAAUUCUGUAAUUUUUCCUUGGUUCAUAUAUGUGUGUAUUUUCUAUAUUUGGAAAAGACUCAGAGUUGCACCAAAGAUGACUGGAAACCAAUUUAAAUAAUUUGGAGGAAUGCCUGAAGACAAUGAAAUGUGGAGAUGCUUCUAGAACUGCAGAGGAGUUGGAGUAAAGCAGUAAUCCAAACAGAGAGCUAUCCCUACGCUUUUGGAGCUUACAAUGCAGUGGAGAAAGACUGUAAACAAAGGAGAGAAACACAGUGUGUAGGUAAAUCCUACGGAGAAAAAUAAAGCUGGAAUGGUGAGGAACGAAGGCUUGGGGUGGGGAAUCCAUUUUAAAUAGGAUGGUCAGAGAAGGCUUUUCCAAGAAAGAGUAUUUCAGCAAGAACUUCAGGAUGUGAGGGGGCAAGCAUUCUAUAGGAAUGGUCCAGACAGAGGGAAUAGCAGUUACAAAGUCUGUGACCAUGGAGCCUUUCUGAAUAUAAGCUCCUUCUGGCUAAAACAUGCUGGUAGGCCAGCAAGACUGUGAGCAGGAAGAUCUGUUCAGAAAUUUUCCAAAUGAUAGUCACUUGGACUAGGGUGUU